GCCUAGGGAUAGGGGUAGGACGGUCAAUUGUAAUUGCUUUAGAACACAUUGCAUUAUUGGUUACUAGGGGAGGCUAGGGAUAACAAGCCGGUAAUUAAUAAUAGGCUCUUUUCACCAAGGGAUUGGGUUAAGGGUAAUUAAGAAAGUAUGCAUGGCAAUUAGAUAAAUAAGUGAAUUAAAUAAGAAGAGUAGAUAUAUGAGAGUGGAUAAGAUGAAAUUGUAGACCCCAACAACACCAUUCAUCCAUAGUUUCUCAAAACCAAUUGAAUCAACUGCAUUGCAUGUUUAUUUUUGUUCUUUGCAUAUAACCACCAAAUUAAUUCUCUUUUCUCAAGUCUUACGCGAUUAGGU
rnacentral:lncRNA from 1 species